rnacentral:rRNA from 1 species
UACGAAGGGGGCUAGCGUUGUUCGGAAUUACUGGGCGUAAAGGGCGCGUAGGCGGCUUGGCAAGUUGGGUGUGAAAGCCCAGGGCUCAACCCUGGAAUUGCACUCAAGACUGCCUUGCUUGAAUUCGGUAGAGGUUGGUGGAAUUCCCCAGUGUAGAGGUGAAAUUCGUAGAGAUUGGGAAGAACACCCGUGGCGAAGGCGGCCAACUGGACCGACAUUGACGCUGAGGCGCGAAAGCGUGGGAGUCAACAGG